GAACCGUGCGAACGUUGUUCGGAAUCACUGGGCUUAAAGGGCGCGUAGGCGGUCUACCAAGUCGGGGUUGAAAUCUUUCGGCUCAACCGGAAAAGUGGCUUCGAUACUGGUAGGCUGGAGGGAGGUAGGGGCGGAUGGAACUUCCGGUGGAGCGGUGAAAUGUGUUGAUAUCGGAAGGAACGCCGGUGGCGAAAGCGAUCCGCUGGACCUCUUCUGACGCUGAGGCGCGAAAGCCAGGGGAGCAAACGGGAUUAGAUACCCCGGUAGUCCUGGCCCUAAACGAUGGGUACUGAGUAGUGGACUUGCAUGGGUUCACUGCUGAAGCAAAAGUGGUAAGUACCCCGCCUGGGGAGUAUGGUCGCAAGGCUGAA
rnacentral:rRNA from 1 species